GAAGGGUGCAAGCGUUAUUCGGAAUUACUGGGCGUAAAGCGUGCGUAGGUGGUUCGUUAAGUCUGCCGUGAAAGCCCCGGGCUCAACCUGGGAACGGCGAUGGAUACUGGCGGGCUAGAGUGCGGUAGAGGGUGGUGGAAUUCCCGGUGUAGCAGUGAAAUGCGUAGAGAUCGGGAGGAACAUCGGUUGCGAAGGCGGCCACCUGGACCAGCACUGACACUGAGGCACGAAAGCGUGGGGAGCAAACAGGAUUAGAUACCCUGGUAGUCCACGCCCUAAACGAUGCGAACUGGACGUUGGGAGCAACUAGGCUCUCAGUGUCGAAGCUAACGCGUUAAGUUCGCCGCCUGGGGAGUACGGUCGCAAGACUG
rnacentral:rRNA from 1 species